rnacentral:rRNA from 1 species
GAGAAUUUAAAUAGCCGCAGUACCCUGACUGUGCAAAGGUAGCAUAAUCAGUUGGCUUAUAAUUGAAGUCUAGUAUGAAUGGGAACACGGGAAUAUUCUGUCUUUAAUAUAUAAAAGAAAUUACUAAUUAAGUGAAAAUUCUUUAAAGUAAGAAAAUAGACGAGAAGACCCUAGAAAUUUUUUUUAAUUUGAUUUUGUUGGGGCGACAGGGUAACAAAAAACUUACCUAAAGUAAUAGGAAAUUUUUUAGUGGUGUAAUUAAAUUACUCUAGGGAUAACAGCAUAAUAUUUUAAAGGUUGUGACCUCGAUGUUGGACUAGGAAAUACACUACUUAAAAGGUAGUGUUUAUGGUUCUGUUCGAACUUUUACUCCUACAU